rnacentral:rRNA from 1 species
GACGAACGCUGGCGGCGUGCUUAACACAUGCAAGUCGAACGGAAAGUCCCUGCUUUUGUGGGGUGCUCGAGUGGCGAACGGGUGAGUAACACGUUAGUAACCUGCCCUUGACUUUGGGAUAACUUCAUGCAACUGGUGCUAAUACCGGAUAGGAGCUCCUGCUGCAUGGUGGGGGUUGGAAAGUUUCGGCGGUUGGGGAUGGACUCGCGGCUUAUCAGCUUGUUGGUGGGGUAGUGGCUUACCAAGGCUUUGACGGGUAGCCGGCCUGGGAGGGUGACCGGCCACAUUGGGACUGAGAUGAGGCCCAGACUCCUACGGGAGGCAGCAGUGGGGAAUAUUGCACAAUGGGAGGAAGCAUGAUGCAGCAACGCCGCGUGCGGGAUAACGGCCUUCGGGUUGUAAACCGCUUUCGCCUGUGACGAAGCGUGAGUGACGGUAAUGGGUAAAGAAGCACCGGCUAACUACGUG